CCUAAAAUAAAUAAAAUUGAAAAUCGGCUUCCUAAUAAACCUAGAAAAUUUGUUAACAAAUGCAUACAUACUUUAAAAAUUGAAAUCGAAUACUAGGAAGCAUGUCUAAUUCCCCACCAGUUUAUUGGUUUAGAACGUAUGAAAACUAGGUGAGCUUCAGCCCCCUUAAAAACAAUUUGAAUGUUAAACUUACCGCUGUAACCAAGAUUAUUUUCCGAUUAGUAUUUAUUACAAAAUCUAUCUAAGUAUCCAUAAAACAUAGAUUUUAUACUAAUAGACGAGUAUUUUAUACACGUAGAACGGUCAUGGAUAGAGGGCGUUCUUCACGCGUGACUUGUGACUUUUAAGCCCGGUCCACAAAAAGGCAGCAUUGAGCGACAUGUAGGUUAUCUUUAAUUUCCUAUUGUUCUGUAACACGUGAAAAAAAAUCGCGACAUUGAAAACAGCGUACACAUUUAGGCAACCAAACCACACCAACAUUGAUAAACAACUGGACUAAAUUGUGUCCACACUGAUAAACUUGUAGCCACGUGUUGCCUAUUUACCAAUUUAUUAUAUUGUAUUAUACUGU